rnacentral:rRNA from 1 species
CAGCACCUCAAGUGGUCAGGAUGAUUAUCGGGCCUAAAGCAUCCGUAGCCUGUUCUGUAAGUUUCCGGUUAAAUCCAUUAGCUCAACUAAUGGGCUGCCGAAAAUACUGCAGAACUAGGGAGUGGGAGAGGUAGACGGUACUCGGUAGGAAGGGGUAAAAUCCUUUGAUCUAUUGAUGACCACCUGUGGCGAAGGCGGUCUACCAGAACACGUUCGACGGUGAGGGAUGAAAGCUGGGGGAGCAAACCGGAUUAGAUACCCGAGUAGUCC